rnacentral:rRNA from 1 species
GACGAACGCUGGCGGCGUGCCUAAUACAUGCAAGUAGAACGCUGAAGGAGGAGCUUGCUUCUCUGGAUGAGUUGCGAACGGGUGAGUAACGCGUAGGUAACCUGCCUGGUAGCGGGGGAUAACUAUUGGAAACGAUAGCUAAUACCGCAUAAGAGUAGAUGUUGCAUGACAUUUGCUUAAAAGGUGCAAUUGCAUCACUACCAGAUGGACCUGCGUUGUAUUAGCUAGUUGGUGAGGUAACGGCUCACCAAGGCAACGAUACAUAGCCGACCUGAGAGGGUGGGCGGCCACACUGGGACGGAGACACGGCCCAGACUCCUUCGGGAGGCAGCAGGAGGGAAUCUUCGGCAAUGGACGGAAGUCUGACCGAGCAACGCCGCGUGAGUGAAGAAGGUUUUCGGAUCGGAAAGCUCGGUUGUAAGAGAAGAACGAGUGUGAGAGUGGAAAGUUCACACUGUGACGGUAUCUUACCAGAAAGGGACGGCUAACUACGUG